CCUUCUAGUACAAUUUCAGAAAUAUCCAAACACUUACACACAAGUCAUUGUCAUGAAACUAGAAAAAUGCUUGUUUUUUGCCCCUUUUUUGGCCCCUAAUUCCUAAAAUUUUGAGGCAAUUACCACCAAAAUCAAUUACAGCCUUUCCUUUGUGAUAUGGAACCUUGUGGUACAAUGUCAGAGAGAUCCAUACACUUACACACAAGUUAUUGUCUGGAAGUUACAAAAAUGCUUAUUUUUUGGCCCCUUUUUGGUCCCUAAUUCCUUAACUGUUGGUACCAUUUUUCAAUCAAGAUACUCUAAUAAUAAUUAUGGCUAAGUUUAAUUCCAUUUGGCCAAGUAGAUUAAGAGGAGAAGAUUUUUUUAAAAGAUUUCAAAAAUUUACGAAAAAUAGUGAAAAAUUGACUUUAAAGGGCAAUAACUCCUUAAGGGGUCAAUUGACAAUUUUGGUCAUGUUUGACUUAUUUGUAGAUCUUACUUUGCUGAACAUUUUUGCUGUUUACAGUUUAUCUCUAUCUAUUAUUAUAUUCAGGUUAUAACCAAAAGCUGCAAAAUUUCCUUAAAAAUACCAAUUCAGGAGCAGCAAUCCAACAAGGGUUGUCUGAUUCGUCUGAAAAUUUCAGGGCAGAUAGAUUUUGACCUGAUGAACAUUUUUACCACAUGUCAGAUUUGCUCUAAAGCUUUGCUUUCAGAGUUAUAAGCUAUUUUUAGCCAUGGUUACCAUCUUGGUUGGUGGGCGGAAUCAUUGGAUACAUUUUCUAAACUAGAUACCCUGAGGAUAAUUAAGGCCAAGUUUGGUUUAAUUUGGCCCAGUAGUUUCAGAGGAGAAGAUUUUUGUAAAAGAUUACAAAAAUUAAGGAAAAAUUGUGAAAAAUUGACUUUAAGGCCAAUAACUCCUUAAGGGGUCAAUUGACAAUUUUGGUCAUGUUGACUUAUUUGUAGAUCUUACUUUACUGAACAUUCUUGCUGUUUACAGUUUAUCUCUAUCUAUAAUAAUAUUGAAGAUAAUAACCAAUAAAUUGCCUCGCCGAGCGCAGCUGGAUAUGACCGCAGAGGUCCAACCCUGAACAGUUGGGGCAAAAAUGGACACAAUAUUCGCGCUUGAUACAGGUCUGAAUUUGGAUUGUAAUUAAAUAUUUGACAUACAUCUAUUAUAGGUUUCUGAAUAAAUGUAGUCAAAGAACUUGAAGUUGGUUAUAUGAAUUGAGUUUAUAUUCAAUUUAAGAUUUCUUGCUGUUGUGCAAUACACUGUGCUGUUGCCCAAUACUUAGUAAAUCUGUUGUCAGACUAAAAACAAAAAAAAAUAUAAAAUUCUAAAGGGAGCUUACAUCAAUAGAUAUAAACAGUUCACCAAAGUUUCAUACGAAUUGCUGAAAGCAUUUUUGAGUUUUUGUCUGAAAACUGGAAAAUCCCCCCUUUUUUAAUGAAUAAACCCCAUAAUUCGGAAAUGUAAAAUCUAAAAAUUUAUAAAUUUCUAAAGGGAGCUUACAUCAAUAGAUAUCAACAAUUCAUCAAAGUUUCAUGAGAACUGCUAAAAGCAUUUUUGAGUUAUUGUCCGAAAACUGGAAAAUCCCCCUUUUUUUCAUGAAUAAAACCCCAUAACUCGGAAACGUAAAAUCUAAAAUUUACAAAAAUCCUAAGGGAGCUCAUGUCAAUAGAUAUAAACAAUUAACCAAAAUUUCUUGCAAGUUGGUGAAAGCAUUCUUGAGUUAUAGUCCGAAAACUGGAAAAUCCCACUUUUUUUAAUGAAUAAAACCCCAUAACUCGGAAACGUAAUAUCUAAAAUUUAUAAAAAACGAAAGGGAGCUCAUGUCAAUAGAUAUAAACAAUUAACCAAAAUUUCUUGCAAGUUGGUGAAAGCAUUCUUGAGUUAUUGUCCGAAAACUGGAAAAUCCCCCUUUUUUUAAUGAAUAAAACCCCAUAACUCGGAAACGUAAUAUCUAAAAUUUAUAAAAAACGAAAGGGAGCUCACGUCAAUAGAUAUAAACAAUUCACCAAAGUUUUAAGCAAAUUGGUUAAAGCAUUUUUGAGUUAAUGUCCGACAUGUUGACGACGGACGGACGGACAGACGUACGGACAGACGGACGUACAACGGUAUACCAUAAUACGUCCCGUAAACGGGCGUAUAAAAACUGCAUUUUACCCCUAUGUUCUAUUUUUAACAAAGUCUGCCAUGAUGGUUGGAAGGCGGGGUCAUCGGACAAAUUUUUUAAACUAGAUACCCUAAUAAUGAUUAUGGCCAAGUAUGGUUAAAUUUGUCUCAGCAGUUUCAGAGGAGAAGAUUUUUGUAAAAGAUUACAAAAAUUUACAAAAAAUUGUUAAAAAUUGACUAUUAAAGGCAAUAACUCCUAAAGGGGUCGACUGACAAUUUUGGUUAUGACAACUUAUUUGUAGAUCUUACUUUGCUGAACAUUAUUGCUGUUUACAGUUUAUCUCUAUCUAUAAUAAUAUUCAAGAUAAUAACCAAUAAAAUGCUCUGCAGGGCGCAGCUUGAUACGACCGCAGAGGUCGAACCCUGAACAGUUGGGGCAAGUAUGGACACAACAUUCAAGCUUGAUACAGAUCUGAAUUUGGAUUGUGAUUAAAUAUUUGACACAGCAUAGGUUUCUGACACAGAAUGAAUGUGGUCUAAGAACUUAAAAAUUUUAAAUUGGACAUUCACCUAUUAUGGUCCAAUAUCCAAAAUCUAAAUACAUGGUUAGAUUCAGCAUAUCAAAGAACCCCAAGAAUUCAAUUUUUGAUGAAAUCAAACAAAGUUUAAUUUUGGACCCUUUUGACCUCAAUGUGGACAAAGUUGAUAAUGGGGCCCAAAAAUCAAAAAUCUAAAUACAUGGUUAGAUUCAGCAUAUCAAAGAACCCCAUACAUUCAAUUUUUGUUGAAAUCAAACAAAGUUUAAUUUUGGACCCCGAUUUGGACCAACUUGAAAACUGGGCCCUUAAUCAAAAAUCUAAAUACAUGUUUAGAUUCAGCAUAUCAAAGAACCCUAAGAAUUCAAUUUUUGUUAAAAUCAAACUAAGUUUAAUUUUGGACCCUUUGGACCUUAAUGUAGACCAAUUUGAAAACGGAACCAAAAAUUAAGAAUCUAAAUACAGUUAGAUUAGGCAUAUCAAAGAACCCCAAUAAUUCAAUUUUUGAUGAAAUCAAACAAAGUUUAAUUUUGGACCCUUUGGACCUCAAUGUGGACCAAUUUAAAAACAGGGCCCAAAAUCCAAAAACUUAAUACACUGUUAGAA